GAUGAACGCUGGCGGCGUGCCUAAUACAUGCAAGUCGAACGCACAGCGAAAGGUGCUUGCACCUUUCAAGUGAGUGGCGAACGGGUGAGUAACACGUGGAUAACCUACCUCAAGGUUGGGGAUAACAUUUGGAAACAGAUGCUAAUACCGAAUAAAACUUCGUAUCGCAUGAUACAAGGUUAAAAGGCGCUACGGCGUCACCUAGAGAUGGAUCCGCGGUGCAUUAGUUAGUUGGUGGGUAAAGGCCUACCAAGACAAUGAUGCAUAGCCGAGUUGAGAGACUGAUCGGCCACAUUGGGACUGAGACACGGCCCAAAACUCCUACGGGAGGCUGCAGUAGGGAAUCUUCC
rnacentral:rRNA from 1 species